rnacentral:rRNA from 1 species
CAGCCGCCGCGGUAAUACGUAGGGGGCGAGCGUUGUCCGGAAUCACUGGGCGUAAAGGGCGCGUAGGCGGUUAGCUAAGUCUGGUGUCAAAGCCCACGGCUUAACCGUGGAGGGGCACUGGAAACUGGCUGACUUGAGUGCAGGAGAGGGAAGCGGAAUUCCACGUGUAGCGGUGAAAUGCGUAGAGAUGUGGAGGAACACCAGUGGCGAAGGCGGCUUCCUGGUCUGUCACUGACGCUGAGGCGCGAGAGCGUGGGGAGCGAACAGGAUUAGAUACCCUGGUAGUCCACGCCGUAAACGCUGAGUGCUAGGUGUUGGGGGUUCAUACCCUCAGUGCUGAAGGUAACCCAAUAAGCACUCCGCCUGGGGAGUACGGCCGCAAGGCUGAAACUUAAAGGAAUUGGCGGG